rnacentral:rRNA from 1 species
AGUGAACGCUGGCGGUAGGCCUAACACAUGCAAGUCGAACGGCAGCACAGUAAGAGCUUGCUCUUACGGGUGGCGAGUGGCGGACGGGUGAGGAAUACAUCGGAAUCUACUUUUUCGUGGGGGAUAACGUAGGGAAACUUACGCUAAUACCGCAUACGACCUACGGGUGAAAGCAGGGGAUCUUCGGACCUUGCGCGAUUGAAUGAGCCGAUGUCGGAUUAGCUAGUUGGCGGGGUAAAGGCCCACCAAGGCGACGAUCCGUAGCUGGUCUGAGAGGAUGAUCAGCCACACUGGAACUGAGACACGGUCCAGACUCCUACGGGAGGCAGCAGUGGGGAAUAUUGGACAAUGGGCGCAAGCCUGAUCCAGCUGUACCGCGUGGGUGAAGAAGGCCUUCGGGUUGUAAAGCCCUUUUGUUGGGAAAGAAAAGCAGCAGGUUAAUACCCCGCUGUUCUGACGGUACCCAAAGAAUAAGCACCGGCUAACUUCGUG